AUUGAACGCUGGCGGCAUGCCUUACACAUGCAAGUCGAACGGCAGCACGGGAGCAAUCCUGGUGGCGAGUGGCGAACGGGUGAGUAAAGUAUCGGAACGUGCCCAGUCGUGGGGGAUAACGUAGCGAAAGUUACGCUAAUACCGCAUACGAUCUAUGGAUGAAAGCGGGGGAUCGCAAGGCCUCGCGCGAUUGGAGCGGCCGAUAUCAGAUUAGGUAGUUGGUGGGGUAAGGGCUCACCAAGCCGACGAUCUGUAGCUGGUCUGAGAGGACGACCAGCCACACUGGGACUGAGACACGGCCCAGACUCCUACGGGAGGCAGCAGUGGGGAAUUUUGGACAAUGGGCGAAAGCCUGAUCCAGCCAUGCCGCGUGCAGGAUGAAGGCCUUCGGGUUGUAAACUGCUUUUGUACGGAACGAAAAGGUUUGGCCUAAUAAGCUGAGCUCAUGACGGUACCGUAAGAAUAAGCACCGGCUAACUACGUGCCAGCCGCCGCGGUAA
rnacentral:rRNA from 1 species